rnacentral:rRNA from 1 species
UCUGAAAUGAAGUAGGACCACCCGCUGAACUUAAGCAUAUCAUUAAGCGGAGGAAAAGAAACUAACAAGGAUUCCCCUAGUACGGGCGACGGAAGCGGGAAAAGCCCACGCUGGUAAUCUGCGGGCGUUAGCUCGUCGAAUUGUAAUCUGAAGAUGGUUGGUCUAACGGAGUCGGGCGACGAAGUGUGCACGAGCGCGCCGCCAAAGAGGGUGAGAGCCCCGUAAGUUGCCAGACUCUACAAAGGCCGGUCGUCGAAGAGUCGUGUACUUUGAUACUAGUGCACCAAGCGGGAGAUAAACUUCUUCUAAGGCUAAAUAUAAGUAGGAAACCGAUAGCGAACAAGUACUGUGAAGGAAAGAUGAAAAGCACUUUGGAAAGAAAGUUAAAAGACUUGAAAUCGUUGAGGCGGACCCGGUAGAAAUGUAUUCUAGCGAAACUCCCUGGGAAGCCUGUACGCGGGUGUCUUGGGAGUUAGCCGAGGCAAGAUGGAGUCGCGCGAUGCUAGAGGCCGUGCAGGAGGUUCUUCGGAAAAGCCUGUGCAGGUUGAGUGUCGGGCGGCUUGAGGGGCUUAGAGCGAUCUUGUCAAAAUGGUUUUUACCGACUCGUCUUGUAACACGAACCAAGGAGUCUAAGACUAACGCGAGUAUGGUGGUGGAGAAACCAACAUGCGAAAUGAAAGUAAAUGAUGCCAAGACAACUGCAGCAUCGACCGACUUUUUUCUCUUGGAAGAGGUUUGAGUAAGAGCGUUAUUCUUAGGACCCGAAAGAUGGUGAACUAUGCCUGUGUAGGGUGAAGUCAGGGGAAACUCUGAUGGAAGCUCGUAGCGAUACUGACGUGCAAAUCGUUCGUCGAACAUGGGUAUAGGGGCGAAAGACUAAUCGAACCAUCUAGUAGCUGGUUCCCUCCGAAGUUUCCCUCAGGAUAGCUGGGACAAUCACGCAGUUUUAUUAGGUAAAGCGAAUGAUUAGAGGAAUCGGGGAUAAAAUGUCCUUGACCUAUUCUCAAACUUUAAAUUGGUAAGAACUCCCGUCUUCGCUUAAUUGAAGCAGGAGGUUCAAUGCGUGUCCUUAGUGGGCCAUUUUUGGUAAGCAGAACUGGCGAUGAGGGAUGCUCCUAACGUCUGGUUAAGGUGCCAAACUGCACGCUCAUCAGAAACUACAAAGGGUGUUAGUUCAUACAGACAGCAGGACGGUGGCCAUGGAAGUCGGAAUCCGCUAAGGAGUGUGUAACAACUCACCUGCCGAAUGAACUAGCCCUGAAAAUGGAUGGCGCUUAAGCGGAUCACUUAUACUCGACCAACAUGAUAAAUGCGAGAUCAUGUUGAGUAGGGGGGCGUGGAGUUUGUCGUGCAUGUCGUGGCGCAAGCCGGACUGAAACAGACUCUAGUGCAGAUCUUGGUAGCAGUAGCAAAUAUUCAAAUGAGAACUUUGAAGACUGAAGUGGAGAAAGGUUCCAUGUGAACAGUAAUUGGACAUGGGUGAGUCGAUCCUAAGAGAUAGGAAAAUUCUGUUUGAAUGUGGCCCUUUUCCGGAAGGGCCCGGCUAUCGAAAGGGAAUCGGGUUAAUAUUCCCGAACCAGGACGUGGAUAAUGAGUGGUAACACAAGCGAAAUCGGGGACGUUGGCGGGAGCCCCGGGAAGAGUUCUCUUUUCUUCUUAACAGUUCAGUGGACCUUGGAAUCGGAUUGCCCGGCGAUAAGGUUCAGUGGCUGGGAAAGCGGCACACUUUUUGUGCCGUCCGGUGCGCUUCCGACGACCCGUGAAAACCCGGUGG